GACGGCGUGAAAACGGAAACAAGUGUGCCGUCUCACUGUGCUGCAUACAAUUACACACUGCGUCGUACGAUUGAGACAAGGAAACUUGGAAUGACUUUUCAUAGGUUUCCCAGAGACUAUGGGUUGAGGAGGAAUUGGAAGUUUGUCGGCUUAGACCUGGUGUCAUUCCAUCAGUGUUAAACUUCCCGGCUCAUCUUGGAAGAGUACGUGCCAGAAAGACCACGACCAAGCAGCCUUGAGAUCUUAGGCAGCGUCUCCCUGAGGUCCCUCUCUAUCUCCCCACACAUCCACCAACCACUGGAACACAUCUCCAAAGUUCUGCCAGGCCAGCUCAGCUUCCUCUCAGAAGAAGUUCCACCAGAUGAAAGAGCCUUUUGAGAGGCAGCUGGCAUCGUGAUUGGACUGUACUUUGGUCUGUUCCAAUCCAGCUUCAGCUCCAGAGACGGCAGGCGGGACGAGUCAACGGAGGCCUGGUGGACAAAGGCAUGCAGCUGAGUACAAUCCAGAAAACAACAGAGGAGGAGUGCA
ensembl:lncRNA